UGUUGAUAGGGAUGGUCUAAGGUUGAGGGUGUGUCAGGGAUCCGACAAAAUUUUCUAAGCCUAUUCGACAUCAAAAGCAAAUUCUGAGCUAGCCCCAUGACACUAGAUGUAGUCCAAUAUAGACUCACGGCCUGAAAAUUGAAAACUGUACAGAACAACUUUUUAAGAUAAAGAAAUAAACUUACAGAAGGAACUGUGGCUGAUAUAGGUAUUAUAAGUAAGGUGAAUAUUCUAAAAAAAUUGGUAGCAUAUCUUUGGAAUCGUGUGGGGUCCUGCAAUCUUCUUAAGGCUUGAAUCUGAAAAUGUGGAAGACAUCUGUGCAGAUCUUAUAAAGCAACCUCAAGGGGGCAUUGAUGGCCGCAACAGUUUAGGCGUUGACACGGUGCUCAUCUCUGUACGGUAAAGGUCCCGGGUUCGAAUCCCUACAUUCCAACCCGACAUACAAAUGAGCUUUUUAUUUUCCACCGGCACCCUGAGGGUUUAUAUGACCUCUGCUGUUGCGUAAAAAAAAAGGUAAGAAGAUAGAACAGCUGUGUCAUCGACAAAAGAUUCAAGGAGGAUGGUAAGUAUAGUGAGAACGUAUGCAGUAUAAAGGACAUAGAUGGCUGAUACUCCAGUAGCCAGCCAGAGAGCAGUAUUUGGAAUAAUCUCAUACUUGUUGGACCCAAAAGGACCACUCUAUUAGAAAAUCUGUGUCACAGGGGAGAUUUGAACCCACAACCUUUCGCUCAAUACGCCGCUGCUCUAUUUCAGCUGCCGUGAAUUCGAUCGCCCAUGCCACAAACCCCUCACCCUGAUUACCAAAUUGUUCAACAUUCUACCCACCCUUAAGAAAUUGUAACCAAAAAGAAAAAAGAAGAGAAUUGGAGAUUUCUAGAAGCCAAAUACACUUUUCAUCUCAACACUAUCUUCAACAUAUUCUUAACAUAACUUAAAUGAUCUGCUAAACAAAGAUUGGGGGUAGUGUCAAAUUAAAUAAUAUAUAAAAAAUAUUUUGUAAAAUUACCUCAAUUAUACUUAAAUUAGAAAGGGCUAAAAUUAUUGGAAGGAUUAAAUAUUCAUCUGGUUGAGCAAGAUUUGGAAUCCAUAGAAAUCCACCAACUGCCAACUGCAAAUAUAAGACCUGGG
rnacentral:lncRNA from 1 species